AGCGGGGUGGAGCAGUCUGGUAGCUCGUCGGGCUCAUAACCCGAAGGUCGUUGGUUCAAAUCCAGCCCCCGCAACCA
rnacentral:tRNA from 2 species